AGUUAAUAAUAAAUAUGUCUUGAAAACAUAAAUUUAAAUUAAAUUUUAAUUAACUU
rnacentral:tRNA from 1 species